rfam:Apis mellifera strain DH4 linkage group 15, whole genome shotgun sequence.
AUCGCUUCUCGGCCUUUUGGCUAAGAUCAAAGUGUAGUAUCUGUUCUUAUCAGCUUAAUAUCUGAUAUACUCUCUAGUGAGAGUUAAAAAUAUUAUACUGAUUUUUGAAACGUGGUGGAAGUUUUAGAGCUUGCUCUACUUCUACCGUGAGUCGGCAUGACAUUGCAGAUUUGUCGUGUUUCGGCUCAAUAUUA